rnacentral:rRNA from 1 species
AACGAACGCUGGCGGCAUGCCUAACACAUGCAAGUCGAACGAGACCUCCGUGCCUAGUGGCGCUCGGGUGCGUAACGCGGGGGAAGCUGCACUUAGGUACCGAAUACUUCCCUGUAGGGGGUGCUAAUGCAGGAUAAUUUAUUCGGACAAAAGAUUUAUCGCCUGUGGGUGGGCCCGAGUUGGUUUAGCGAGUUGGUAGGGUAAAAGCCGACCAAGGCGUCGAUCCUUAGCUGGUCUGAGAGGAGGAUCAGCCACACUGGGACAGGGACACGGCCCAGACUCCUGCGAGAGGGAGCAAGGGUGAAAAAUGGACAAGGGGCGAGAGCCUGAGCCGGCAAGGCCGCGUGGGUGAUGUAGGCGUUAGGAAUGUAAAGCGCUUUUACCCGGGAUGAUAAUACGGUAACCGGGAGAAAAGGCCCGGGCAAAUUCCUG